ACGCUCGGUUCGGUAUUUCGAACCGGGGUGCCGCUAAAUUUUAUACUGGCCGACGGGUGAGUAAUGUCUGGGAAACUGCCUGAUGGAGGGGGAUAACUACUGGAAACGGUGGCUAAUACCGCAUAACGUCGCAAGACCAAAGAGGGGGACCUUCGGGCCUCUUGCCAUCAGAUGUGCCCAGAUGGGAUUAGCUUGUUGGUGAGGUAACGGCUCACCAAGGCGACGAUCCCUAGCUGGUCUGAGAGGAUGACCAGCCACACUGGAACUGAGACACGGUCCAGACUCCUACGGGAGGCAGCAGUGGGGAAUAUUGCACAAUGGGCGCAAGCCUGAUGCAGCCAUGCCGCGUGUAUGAAGAAGGCCUUCGGGUUGUAAAGUACUUUCAGCGGGGAGGAAGGUGUUGUGGUUAAUAACCGCAGAAUUGACGUUCCCGCAGAAGAAGCACCGGCUAACUGCCGUGCCGCAGCCCGCGGUAAUCGGAGGGUGCAAGCGUUAAUCGGAAUUACUGGGCGUAAACCCA
rnacentral:rRNA from 1 species